UAUUCUCUUUUCCAUUCAACUUUGAAUUCAAAUCUAUUCCAAAUUUGAGUUCAAGUCUAAUGCACAAAUGGAACCCCACAUAAUGUGGGAUAGUUUUAUUACCCUAUUUAAUUACCUUAUUUAUUAUCAUUAUUUUAUUUUAGGAAAUGCUUUCAACAUGGAUUACUUACCACAUUUAUUUCCAUAACAUAUUAGUUUGAGUGUGUAAUUAAUUUAAAGGUAUAUUCAUGAGUUCAUAUUCUUUGGUUUUGUUAGAAAAUAUUUUCCAAUCGACAAACUUUUAUUAAGGUUUGUUUUACUAAUGAUAUUUUAUUAUGACCAUUUUC
rnacentral:lncRNA from 7 species